rnacentral:rRNA from 1 species
AGUAAACGGCGGCCGUAACUAUAACGGUCCUAAGGUAGCGAAAUUCCUUGUCGGGCAAGUUCCGACCUGCACGAAUGGCAUAAUGAUGGCCACACUGUCUCCUCCUGAGACUCAGUGAAGUUGAAAUGUUUGUGAUGAUGCAAUCUCCCCGCGGCUAGACGGAAAGACCCCAUGAACCUUUACUGCAGCUUUGCAUUGGACUUUGAACCGAUCUGUGUAGGAUAGGUGGGAGGCAGUGAAGCUAGGACGCCAGUCUUAGCGGAGCCAACCUUGAAAUACCACCCUGAUUUGUUUGAGGUUCUAACCUAGGAGCGUAAUCCGCUUCGGGGACCGUGCAUGGUAGGCAGUUUGACUGGGGCGGUCUCCUCCUAAAGGGUAACGGAGGAGUGCGAAGGUACGCUAGGUACGGUCGGAAAUCGUGCUGAUAGUGCAAUGGCAAAAGCGUGCUUGACUGCGAGACCGACAAGUCGAGCAGAUACGAAAGUAGGUCAUAGUGAUCCGGUGGCUCUGCAUGGAAGGGCCAUCGCUCAACGGAUAAAAGGUACUCUGGGGAUAACAGGCUGAUACCGCCCAAGAGUUCAUAUCGACGGCGGUGUUUGGCACCUCGAUGUCGGCUCAUCUCAUCCUGGGGCUGUAGCCGGUCCCAAGGGUAUGGCUGUUCGCCAUUUAAAGAGGUACGUGAGCUGGGUUUAAAACGUCGUGAGACAGUUUUGUCCCUAUCUGCCGUGGGCGUUGGAAGAUUGACGGGGGCUGCUCCUAGUACGAGAGGACCGGAGUGGACUCACCUCUGGUGUACCGGUUGUCACGCCAGUGGCAUCGCCGGGUAGCUAUGUGGGGAAAGGAUAACCGCUGAAAGCAUCUAAGCGGGAAACCUGCCUGAAGAUAAGUCUUCCUGGAGGCUAGACCUCCCUGAAGAGUCGUUCGAGACCAGGACGUUGAUAGGUUGGAUGUGCAAGCGCUGUGAGGCGUUGAGCUGACCAAUACUAAUUGCUCGUGAAGCUUGAUCCU